AUUGAACGCUGGCGGCAGGCCUAACACAUGCAAGUCGAGCGGAUGAAGGGAGCUUGCUCCUGGAUUCAGCGGCGGACGGGUGAGUAAUGCCUAGGAAUCUGCCUGGUAGUGGGGGAUAACGUCCGGAAACGGGCGCUAAUACCGCAUACGUCCUGAGGGAGAAAGUGGGGGAUCUUCGGACCUCACGCUAUCAGAUGAGCCUAGGUGGGAUUAGCUAGUUGGUGGGGUAAAGGCCUACCAAGGCGACGAUCCGUAACUGGUCUGGGAGGAUGAUCAGUCACACUGGAACUGAGACACGGUCCAGACUCCCACGGGAGGGAAGAAGGGGGAAAAGUGGACAAUGGGCGAAAACCUUAUCCAGGCAUGCCGCGUGGGGGAAGAAGGUCUUCGGAUUGUAAAGCACUUUAAGUUGGGAGGAAGGGCAGUAAGUUAAUACCUUGCUGUUUUGACGUUACCAACAGAAUAAGCACCGGCUAACUUCGUG
rnacentral:rRNA from 1 species